rnacentral:lncRNA from 1 species
CCCCCUUUUAUUUUGAUUCUCAUCACCACAUGAAAAUUUGUCAAGUGACAAGCAUCUUGUGCACCAAAGUUUUGUUUAUUAGUCUAUUCACUACCUGUGCGAUUUGGGUUCCCCUCCUGAAUCACAGAUCCACCCCACCUCUGAGUCAUUGCUUGCUGAAGUUCAGUAAGUGUAUAUUUGCCAUAUGUAUGUGUAAAAAUACUUGUAAUGUUUUUU